GUGUGUGUGUGUGUGUGUGUGUGUGUAUGUAUAAACGUGUGUAUGUUUAUAUAUAGUGUCAUCGAGAUCCAAUAUGUUUUCUUGCAUGAAUAUGAAAGUAAACACUCGCGACAGAUGUAGUUCACAGUAUUUGAACAGUAACAGCUUUUACAAAACUUGCGUGUUGACAGCAUAUUGACUUAUGACAAACUUAGAACAACCUGUCAUUUUCUUGACUUACCCACAUACAUUUGCAUGUGUGUGUGGUGUGUGUGUGUGUGUGUGUGUGUGUGUGUUUGUGUGCUUGUGUAUGUGUGUGUGGGAGUGUGUGUGGGAUAGAGAGUGGGAUAGUGUAUUUAUUACCUGUUUUUUGUAAUCUCCCUCAUAAUCACUGAUGUUCCUGUGGCAAAUUAAAAUUCAUCAUCAUCAUCAUCAUCAUCAUCAUAAGUAAUAGUAGUAGCGGCAGCACUACUACUACUACUUUUGCUAACCGCAUCUAGGUUGUCUGUCAAGUAAUGUUUUCUCAUUUGAUACAAUUGCCACAAGGGAGAUAAAGCUAAAUUGCAAGAGUAAAAACUGCUCAAACAGAGAAGCCUUCCUCUGCUGCCGUGUAGAUUGUUUAAAACGCUUCUAUUGUAAAGACCUUUGGCUGUUGUUUGUAUUUUUUAGUAUCUUUCCUAUCUACAGAAUUUUGUAUGGUUAGAAAUACUAUUGUAACUGUUGAGUAGUUAGAAAUACUAUUGUAAUUAUUAUUAUUAUUAUUAUUAUUAUUAUUAUUAUUAUUAUUAUUAUUAUUAUUAUUAUCAAUAAUAAUAUUACAAUCAUCAUUAAGGUGGCGAGAUGGCAGAAUCGUUAGCACGCUGGACGAAAUAUAUAUGGCAGUAUUUCGCCCGUCGCUACGUUCUGAGUUCAAAUUCCACCGAGGUUGACUUUGCCCUUCAUCCUUUCGAGGUCGAUAAAAUAAGUACCAGCUGAAUACUGGGGUCGAUGUAAUCGACUCAUUCCCUCCCACUAAAAUCUUCCCUUGUGGCAAAAUUUGAAACAUUAUUAUUAUUAUUAUUAUUAUUACAAUCAUUAAAGCGGCGAGCUGGCAGAAUCGUUAGCUCGUCGAACAAAAUGCUUAGCGUCAUUUCGUCUGUCUUUACGUUCAAAUUCUGCUGAGGUCGACUUUCCCUUUCAUCACUCCGCGUUCGAUAAAAUACGUACGAGUAAAACACUGAAGUCAAUGUAUUCGACUAGUCCCUUCUUCCAAAAUUUCAGACCUUCUGUCUUUAGUAGAAAUGUUUAUUACAAUCAUUAUUAUUUCAAAACAUUUGUGUUUUUAUAAAAAAAAUUUAAAAGCGCCGAGUGAGAUGGUAUUUUACAGAAAAUCAAGUAAAUGUUGAACGCGGAGUAGCUGUGAAAACACCCUUAACGAUAAGGUAAAUACUCUUGGAAGACGGAAAAAGUGGCUAGAAAGGCCUACAGAUUAUCAAACUCUGUACCUCUGGAAUUCCAGCUGGGCGCUCUGUACCGUUAAUCUAAGGGACCCCUGAAGGGUCUUCAUUUUCUUUAAAACUAUUAUUAUUAUUAUUAUUAUUAUUAUUAUUGAAUUGUUAGAAGAUCGGGCAAAAGGCUGACGGUAUUUCUUCCUGUUCUUUGGGUUCUGAGUUCACACUUAGCUGAGGUUAACUGUGCCUUUCAUUUCACCAACAUCGAUAAAUUAAAGUACAACUUACGUUGCUUACAUUAGCAACAAUUAUCAUCAUCGUUAUUAGUCAUUAUCAUAAGGAGGUAAGCUGGCAGAAUAGUUAGCAGGCUGGUUAAAAUGCUUAGCAGUAUUUCACCCGUCGCUUCGUUCUGAUUUCGAAUUCCGCUGAGGGCGACUUAGCUUUGCCUUUCAUCCUUUCGGCGUCAAUAAACUAAGUACCAGUGAAAGACUUGAGUCGAUGUAAUCGACUGGGCCCUUCCGAAAUUUCAGGACUUGUGCCUAUAGUAGAAAGGAUUAUUAGUCGAUAUCAACAACAUGAUGACGAUCAUCAUCAUUAUGAACAUGAAAUCAUUCUGGUGAAUAAUGAUUUCGGUUGUAUAGAUAUAUAUAUAUUUACGAUUGGAGUAACUUGUUAUAAGUAGUAGUAGUAGUAGCAGUAGCAACAGUACAGAUGAUGGUGAUGACAGGAAACGAAACAAGGAGACAAGAAAAGAAAGAAGAGCAACUAUGUUAGUCCACAUUAAUUUAAGAGGUUUUGAUAUCAAAUAUUAGUAUAGUUUAGUUUGCAUGAAGCAUUAGCCAAUGUACAUAUAUAUGAUUUUAUUUUUAUAAAGCCAAGCCAAAACAAGAUUACCUGAAGGAGGAGUCUGUACUUGAAAUACUGAAAUACGAGUUAAAGUACGAACCAUUGACCUGUAUUAUUUCUUACAACAUACAUUGCUGGGAUUUAUAAACCAAGUAUAUAUAUAUAUAUAUAUAUAUAUAUAUAUAUACAGAUAGAUAAAUAGAUAGGUCACUUCUCUCCAGUUUUCACUAUUUGGCUUGUUUGCAUAAUAUUGUUAGUUCAAGUAUUAAAUAUGAAAGUAAAUUUCUAAUACUGUCGGUUCUUGAUAUAUCUGCAAUUAGUAAUAAAAAUGGGCAGUGUAAAGAGAACUUAAUGUGAGGUUCUGAUAUAUUUCUUUUAGUAGUUUGUUUUAAUGGUCUGUAAACGUCCCUAAUGUUGUUGUUCGUUCCUUCUCUAGCGAUGCCUGGCUCAUAAAGGCUGUUUUCCCAGUUUCAUUCAUGUAUAGGUUCCCCCAUCUGGACAAGACGUCGGUCCGUUGCAGGUGAGCUGCUAGAUGCAGGAGGAAAGAGUGAGAGAACGUUGUGGCGAAAGAGUCAGCAGAAGUUCGUCAUUACCUUCUGCGGGAACCGCGUGGAGCUUAGGUGUUUCGCUCAUAAACACACACAUCGCCUGGUCUGAGAUUCGUACCGACGAUCCCUCGACCGCGUGUCCGCUGCUCUAACCACUAUGCUUUAACCACUAUGCUUUAACCACUAUGAAUGCAUGUAUGGCAGUUGUAUAAGCCAAUACAUUACGUUUGGGCCCAACUGAAGUGAGUGACGUAGAACUGUUGUACUGGGUUUGGUGAUGCUUUGUCAGGGUUAAUUCCGUAUGUUACUUUCUUCUAAAAAUCAUCCUUGCGUUCAUUUUAAAAGCGGAAACGGUGAAUUGUAUGUAACCAGAUCUAGCAAUUGAAAGCUAAAGUAGGCCACUGGUAAUGAUUAACAUUUGAUAGGCAUCAAUGAAUUUUUUCAGAGAGAACUUUUAACAUUUUCUUUGGUAUCUCUAUAGCACGGUGACCAAAGGACAUGAGUUCUCAAGUUGACGAAUUCCCAUCCUGUCCAGUGCUGCUGCAUCCUUAACAGCAUCGACCUCUCCAUGGAGGGAAAUGAAGUGUCACCAGUGAAUGUUGGGAAGGUACACAUACCUACACACAUAAAUACACACACACACGCACAUACACAUAGAUGUUAGAAUUCGAUCACGAAGUAUAUGUAAGACUAAAAUUGAAAUUGCUGUAUAAUGCCACGAAUAUGAUUUAUGUACAUUGUCUCUUGGUGAGCUAUAACUGUUGUAGGUACAAUAGAAGGCCCUCUUCUAUUUGGUACCUUUAAAUGUUUCAGAAUUAUUCAUUCGCGUGUAUGUGUGUGUGUAUGUGUGUGUGCGUGCGUGUUUAGAAGGAAGUGAUUUUGCAUACGAUCACUGAAUCUUGUGUAGUGCAUCUAAUAUGGAUGCGAUCUUUAUUCAGGUUUAACAUUUGUAAUUAACUAUGGGAAAAAACUUAGCAAAGAGGGAAAUCCAGUUAUUUGACGUCUUACAAAUAAAGUUUAGGGCGAAAUGUUCAGUUAUGGUUCUAGAUGACGAGAUAAAGUUAGAGUGACGAAAAGAGCAGAAACAGGUGUUUCAAGUGUGUUUCAUUGGGAGUGACGUGGACAGGUUAAUUCAGAAGCGUAUCAUAUUGAAGUUAUACUGUAGCUAUGAGUGCAUUAUAUUUUGAAAAUCAACCAAUGACGAUUCCUUUACGUAAUGUAUCUACAAUAAAUUAGCCAGGUAAAGUUAACCCCUUCCCAGUUUUACUUUUGAGAAGAUCUGAGUUACAUGUUAAAGCACAUUCCUUUAUUACAAUUUUUCUUCUUACACAAUAGUUACAACCAGGUGAACAAUAAUCUUAAAUGUUCAAUAUAUAGGCCACGGGUACAGCUUUGUAAUGAUGAUGAAAUAUGAAGAGCCAAUCAUUUGUCUGAUAGGCCGACAGGCCCAGUUACAUUUCGAUAUUAUUUACAACUUUAUUUCCUAGUUGUAUGGUUCAGAAUUUGAUUGAUGACGUAGGAAAUGGUAAGAAAUGUACAAAGCUUUAUAAAAUGGCAUUAUACCAAUGAUAAACAAAGAAUGUUGGCACAAGGCCAGUAGUUUUGGGGCGGAGGAGUAGUCGAUUAAACCGACCCCGUUACUCAACGGAUAGUUAUUAUAUCGAUCCCGAAAAGAUGAAAGGCAAAAAUCGACCUCCGCGGAUUUCGAACUCAGAACGUGAAGGCGGACAAAAUGCUACAAAACAUUUUGCUCGUCGUGCUGACGAUUCUACCAGCUCACUAGCUAGAAUUAUUUAAUAUUUGUAAGCAUUUCUUCGGUAUUCUGAAUCGCUGAAUAUUGUUGCUAGACAGAUUUGUAAAUGGGUCGUUACUGAGUGUAAGCUAAGAUAGUCGGUAUAAUCAGUAUAUUAAAUAUAUUGCAAUUCUAUGUUUCAACGAACGCUAAUUUAUGCCUGAUUACCAUAGCUAAUUUAAAUUAGGAAGCAGAAUGGAAAUUAAUUUUUUUUGCAAGAUUAAAAUACAAAUUCUACAGUUAGGACGAUGAAUAGUUAGAAAUCGAUAAGAUAAUCGUAUGAAAUAAGGUUACUGAUUCUGGUCAGGCUAUUCCGUAUAUCAAUCAGAAUUAUGAACUCUCUUUCUCUCCCUCUCUCCCUCUCUCUCCCCACACACGUACGCACACACAUACACACAUACUCAUACACACGUUCACUUACACAGAUGUACAUACACACACAAGUACAAAUACACAUAUAUAUAUGCAGAGGUAUGAACACUCUCAUGCAUGUUUUUUUUUUCGAUAAUUUAUCAUAUUUCAAAAUGUUUACAGUUAAAGACAUUUAUUCAAUUAUCUGAAGUCAAUACCCUUCUUGGAGCUACCUUGUUUACAUUAAUCAAAUCAAAUUAUCAACUGGAAGAGACAUUGUUUAGUGUGGAAGUCAUUCAUGGUAUUAUUCAAAUCGUAUGGUACAUAUAAAAUUAAAUUUUCAACUGCUUAUGUGUUUAUAUUAGCCUUAUUGUGACAGAAGACAGCGUAAUAAAAGAGGUAUUUGUCAUAUUUAGAAUGGGAGACUUUUAUUGGGUAGCGCCGUAUUGAAAAGUUUAGUCAAACAGCUUACUUUAACAAAAGGAGUCUAAAACGUGUUUUUAUUGGAAGAUAACAGACAAGAAAAGAAAUCAAUAUUUCACAAAUUGUUUUGCAUUUUGUAGUUGUUCUAUUUUUCAGUUUAAAUAAUAAAUGAUCAGGCUAUUUAUUAUUAAGGGCACUUCUUAUGUCGUUUUUUAUUUAGUAAAUGGAUUGGACUGUAUUUACAUAGCUUAACUGAGUAUUAUUCUGUCUUUUAACAUUGUUUCCUUUUAGUACAUUUACCAUAUUCUGUUUUAGAAUACUUUUAGCAGAUUAUUUCCCAUUUAACAGCCUCACAAAACUCAACUACGUUUAUAUAUACAUAUAUAUAUAUAUACAUAUAUAUAUAUAUAUAUAUAUAUAUAUAUAUAUAUAUAUAUUAAUAUAUAUAUAAUAUUAUGUAUAUAUCAUAUAUUAGUUAUUAUAUUAUAUAAAUUGCGUGUGCGUGUGAGUGUCUGUGUGUGUAUGCGUGCGUGUGCAUGCAAUAAAAAUCGUCUUUAUCUAUGAUAUAACAAUACUUAUGAGUAAAUAGUCGAGGAAUAUUUUUGAGUUAAGGGCCUUCAGACAAUUCUACUGCUAAGGGCAUUCGACUAAGAGAAAUCUUGAAAGAUCCUUCAUUGUUUAGGAAUGGCGUAGAAUAGGUAAUUAUCAUUGAAAUUUAGCUUAUUUACAAAUUAACGUAAUUGGGACAUACAUUAAUCCUAGGAAAUUAGCAACGCCACAGUAGAUUAUUGAAAUAGAAUAGUUUAAUGUUGUGGUGACGCAGAUGAGCGGUAAUUUUGCGAAUGUGAAAAUGCAGUCAUGAACGCGAAUAAAGAAAAUGCUUAAAAAAGUGCAAUACAUAUUUGGUAACUUAAUAAAAGUCAAAGAUAGUCUGAACAACCGUCCUAAGCACUGUUCAAUUUGCUUGCAAAACAGAAUUAUUUGAUGAUUCUAGCUAUACGGUGAGAGGCUUCAACAUCAAGCAUUUUAUACAGAUAAUUUAAAUAACUUUUAAAAUGAAUAAUUGUUUUAAUGCAUACCACCCCGUUUGAUAGGGUCAACAAUAUGACCACAGUUUGAAUAGAAUAUAUUAAAUGCAUUCUAUUUGAAUUUGAAAAGAAUAAAUUUGAAUAGAAUAAAUUAAAUUUAUUGAGAAUUUAUCGUAAGUUCAAUAUACAUUUGGAUAAGAAGAAAUAAUGUCAACAGUUUUGGAUAGGGAUCAUAGAAUUUAGUGAAAUCUAGUGAUAAUUAUACUACUGAAAACGUAUAUAAAAUUGCUCAUUUUAAAACUCCAAUUGGAUUAGCUUUCUUCGAACAAGGAAGGAGAUGCCAUUUAGAAGUGUGACUAAAAAAGAAAAAUAUUAAAACGUGUGUACUAAAAUACAAAGAUAGUAUCUGAGAAAAAUAUGAAAAUAGAUUAACUAAUAUAUUGAAUAUAUUAUAUGAUGUACUUGUUUGCUCUAUUGUUAAGUAAUAAAUAAUAUAUUGGAAUAAGUGAGUUUGUAGACAACUGUUCUUCUGAGAAUUGACAUAAUGAUAGAAUCAAGUAAAUUCGCAAGAAGAAAAAUGCAGUAGUGGGAUAAAUUCGGCUCUUUGGCACAUAAUUAUUGGAAGAUUACUGACUUAUCAGAGAGCUGAAUAAGAGUAUAAGAGCAUCAGCUGUAUUUAUAAUAGCACCAAUAAAAUGUCUGAAAAGACACAACUCAGUGACAUGUAAAAGUUUCCAAAUCUAACUACUUAGAUAUUGGUUGCCAAUUGCGUACCAUUGUCUGUUAAAUAUAAAUGAAGUUGGUAAUGUGUGGUUGGAUGAAAUAUAUAAUAAAACAUCUAAAGUUAUAUAGAUCACAAAAUAUUCGUUUUAGCAUAAUUCACGAAUUGUAUAUAAUUCUGCAUAAGGCAAUGAAUGAUCUUAGGUUAGGAUCUUUUGAUAUUCUUAUAGAUGGAAUUGAGGAUCAUCAUAUACAGUUUAAAACAAUUUGCAACUAACUACGUGAAUAUAUGAUAUUGAUUUUUCAAACAUAUACAAUGUACUUCACUGGUGCUGGCUGUGAUAGCUCAUGUUUAGUAUACCGAAUGGUAUUUUCUUUCUUUUUAUUUUUCAUUUUUGUACCGCUGCCCACAUACAGGGGAUGAAGUUAUGCGGUUGAUUUGAAUUCAGUUUUCAAAGUGUUUGGCUGUAGGAAGACACGUCGUGAGCACGGGAUGAUUUUAGCUCAACACAAUGAUAUAUACCGCUUACAACGAAUAAAUGCAGUAACAAAGAGCAUAUAAUUAAGUAGACUGGCCUACUUAGGUUACCUUCAUUGUAAUCGUAUCAGAACGGCAAUAGUGAGACACAGACAGUAGGCCUUUUGCUAGUUACUUCACUAUCAAGGUAAACACCUAAUUAGAAAUCUCUGCGACAGUAUCAAGAAUCAAGACAGGGAACUUUAUAUAUAUAUAUAUAUACAUACAUACAUAUACAUAUAUAUAUAUAUAUAUAUACAUAUAUACAUAUACAUACAUACAUAUACAUACACACACACACACACACAUAUAUAUAUAUAUAUAUAUAUAUAUAUAUAUAUAUACGUAUGUAUGAAUGUAUAUGUAUAUGUGUUUGUGUGUGCGUGUGCAUAUAUAUUUGUGUGAGGGUGUGUAUGUAUAAAUAGAUGGAUAGAAAGUGAUAUAUACAUACGUACGUACGUAUUUAUUUACAUAUGAGUGCAUUGAUGAUUAUUUUGGUCUGCAAAAGUAAACAAUUCUCCUAGUAAAUUUAGUUGAGAGUAAAUAGCUAUAUGUUAAGCUUUAUUUCAAGUAUAUGUCGGUUAGCACUGCAGAGUAUUUCGAUCGUUAACAUGUGAAAAAAAGACUUAAAUAAAAUUUGAUAUCCUACUGAAUUACUUUUAUAUUACAGUUAAAACAAUUUUAGUUGAUUUAUUUGAUAUUGAGUCUACAUUUAAAUAGGAUACGCGUAAGUGGCGAGUCGAAAUCAUUCAUCUGAAUAUUAUCAAUGGGUUUUUACAAAGUGGACGAUAAAUUUAAUAAUUUGUUGGUUAUUAAUAAUUAUAAAUAAAAUUAUUUAUUGACUUCAAGUAUACGAAACUGAGAAAUAGGUCAUUGACAGAUGAGCGACUAAGCAGGCUCUUCAAGGAUAAUCAUCAUAGAUUAUCUUCAACAUCCAGGCUGAAAUAUACUAUUAGUUACAAAAUACUUCAUGUAACAUCAUUAAUCAUUUCUUUGCUGCUAAUUUAGUUUUAUUGUGUGUGUUCUUCCAUUUUUCUUGAAAGGAUAAUUGAUAUUAAAUCUAUGUAUUAACUCUCAAUACUACUAAGUUCAGGCAUACUUUUAUAAAUAUAUUGAUUGUGCUAUUUUACUUUUAGUAGCGACAACGAGUCACAAUUCUAGUAUUGAAGACUUGGGAUGUUUAGUCAUAUUGUAAUAGAUAUAUAAUUGUGACCGCAAGCUGAAAUAAUUUGAAAACAGUUAUUAUUUAGUUUAUAUAUGACACCAUUUUAAGCAAAAAUGAUAUAUAAUACUCUAAAAUGGCUAUAAUUUUCUACUUUUAUUAAAUGUUUAUAGGAAAGCCGAUAGGUAAAUUCUGAUGAAAUACCUAUCAUAAUAAAUGAUAAGUAAAUCGAUAGAAAACAUAAUCAUUGAAAAGUAGUAGCAACUACAUAGUAUUCAGAAAAGACUAUUUUGGUUUAUGUAUCAAUUAACUUUUUCACAUUCGUAGUAGAAGUUGGACAUAGCGUUGUCAGUUAUCGAAACAUGGUUAUUGCAACUUCCCAGUUGUAUAAUUAACGCUUACACAUUGUCUCAAACCCACAUUACAUAUUUGGGGGUAGAUGGUUUUCGUCUGCACGUUAAAUGAAUAGAACCAUUUAAAAUUUUGGAGGAACAAAAAAUGAUAGAACAAGAGCAACAUCCCAGCUGCAAGUUUGAGUAAGUUGAGAGAUAAACUAUUCAAAGCAUUAAUGUAUUAAGAAUUUUUUUUUUCGAUCUCAUACUUUCAAUGUAUAAGAAAGAACGAACUAGUAAACAAAGAUGUUGCGACUAAGAAUAUAAUUUUAAGGAACGUAUUUUAAACAUCAGGAAUAAAUAUCCUCAUGAAGAGGUAACAAUUCAAAGAAAAACUGGAAUGUCUCCAAAACGAAAAUGUUUAUCAUCUUCUUAAUACACACACACACACACACACACAUAUAUAUAUAUAUAUAUAUAUACACAGGCACACAAACACACACACACACACAUAUAUAUAUGUAACAAUUUGAUGACUUAAAUGUAAAAAUUGUUGAGUGACACAAGUAAACACGUGAAAAUAUCUAAGUAACUUCAAGAACGAUAUGUAAAAGAGAUUUUAAGACAAAAAAAAUAAACCAGCUUACUUAUCCUUACAUAUUUAACUCUCACUGUUAAAGCACAUAUUUUAAAGUUAAGACGACAGUUAGCCAUAAGUAAAAACCACGAAUCAUAUACCAAUUAUACUCAUUAACUGAAUGGACAAUAACAUUAAAAAGAACAAUAUGCUGAGGACAAAAUUAAGAGCCUGCACAUGACAUGAAUGAAUGUAAGGUGGAUGAGCUUGUAGUAUUUAUUCAACAGCAUUGCUUUGACAGGAAUGCUUUUUAGAUUGACUUAAUUAUUUAACCUCACGCAUUCGUUUAUACUGCCAAUAAAGCACUUUUAAAUAAUUUAUGUAUUUACCCGCCAAACAUUAUCUGAAAAUGAACGUUUUGGCUUUGGAGAUAUAUUUCAAUAUAAUAUGCAAAUAGAUUCUACCUUUACAUGCUUAACAUAAAGCUAUCGAUAUGUGUGUGUAAAUAUAUAUAUAUAUUUGUGUGUGCACGUAUGCGGAUGUAUGUGUGUGUGUGUGUUGAUAUGUUCGUGUAUUUGUGAAGUGCAUAGGCGUGUUUAGUUCAAUAGUCGCUCAGCGAGUGAUUCAUCUGUUCUUAGCACAACUAUAAGGAGGAUUAUACAAUAAUUAUCCCCUGUUGACAGUUUUAAGAACAAUUAAAAACAGAUGAGCUUCUUGUUGAGCAAAUAUUAAGAUAAGAAAUAACCUGUACAUUAAUUAAUGUGUUGAAAACUUAAGAGGAAAUGCGAGAUAAACUUAUAGAAAUAAUUCUAAGGUUCAAAUAUUCACAAUCAUAUACCUAUGUGUGUAUGCCUGUGAUGAGUGUGUGUAUGUGCAUGUGCGUCCUUGCGUGUGUGUAUGUGUGUGUGUAUUUGCUUUUUAAUUGAUGUUACUGUGUUGUAUGUAUGUAAAUGCAUUGCUUCCGAUCGCACAUUCUCCAUUGAGAACCGGUUUUAGAGAGAAAAUUGUUACUAACAGAUACAAUGUCAAAUGAAAUUAUAUAAAUUAGAUGAAAUAUAGUAAACAUUACAAAGUCCUUAUAAUCUCAGUAAAUACGAAGUCAAAAACAAUACUGAGGAAAGAAAAAUAUAUAAUACAGUGUCUUUAGCUUCAGAGGGAUAUAAUUAUUACUUUUAAAAAAAUUCUCGAUUUAAGCAUUUCUAUUUUUGUUUCAUUUAUAUUUUAUUCAUCAAAUAUUUCCUCCUAUGUUUACCUUCUGUCAAUGAGGACACCAGUCAAUUAUCUUGGCAUCAUAUAUAUCUACAGAAAUUGGAAUUUCUAAGUAUUGCAUAUAUAUGAGAGAUUUAGAUAUAAUAAUAAUAAUAAUAAUAAUAAUAAUAAUAAUAAUAAUAAUAUACACACACACAUAUAAACGUUAUAUUAUAAUUUAUAACGUCUUGCAUAUGUAAUAAAGAAAACAAGUAAAAAAGCAAAUGUAAAAUUCGGUUAAAGAAAUUAGUUGCAAUGCGUAUAAUCACUACGCAUACUUUUCGGAUAUAGACAGGCAUAUAUCCUUACUCAUUCAUAUACAUACAUAUAUAUAUAUAUACAUAUGUAUGUAUAUAUAUAUAUAUAUAUAUAUAUAUAUAUAUAUAUAUAUAUUUAUUUAUUCAUAUAUAUACAUAUGUAUGUAUAUAUAUAUAUAUAUAUAUAUAUAUAUAUAUAUAUGCUACAGUUAUUUAUAUUUAAACAUUUUAUAAAAGGCAGAUUUUGGCUGGAAAAUAAAAUUUUAAAUUAAUAAGUAGAUUUUUAUGACCUUUUGCAAAAGUAAUUUAGCUUACCAAAACUUGUUAAUAUUGAAGAUAUAACCAAACCGCCAUUUGAUUUGAAUUUGAAAAAAACUGGAUUUUUUUCAAACAUUUUAUGAAAGCAAUAAAAUGUAUUUUUAAUUUUUAAAAAAUAUCUAGAAAAAAAUUAAUUAAACUGAUAAUUAUAUCUGGAGAUUCCUUUUAAUGGAUUUGCUUUAAGUAAUCCAUACACAUGCACAUCAAACAUACCUAGUUGAAACACGCACACACACACAUACACACAUGUAUUUAUAUACUUAUACAUACAAAUAGUUAUACAUAUAUAUUUAUUCAUAUAUAUACAUACAUACACAUAUAUAUGUAUGCGUGUUUUUUUAGUGUCCAUGCUUUACGAGUAUAGAAUAGCAAUUUUAUAUUUUGUUUAACGCCUGUUAAAAAUUACCAACUCUUUGGGGAAUUAUUCCGAACAGUACAUCUAACUAUCAGCACCUCUUUUCCUCAUGUCACAACACCAAUGAUCACCAGAACGUGAAUGAAAAUUGAAAACUUUAUUAAUUUAUAUAAUUAUGAAAUUAAUAAAUUCACUCGUCCUGUAUAUGCGGUGAGUCAAUAUUGAUAUUUCACUAUUUAUUUGUUUGUUUCGUUUACCAUAUGCAUUUUUUGAUGCGUUUCAAUUUUGUUCAGGUUUUAAAUUAUUUGAAAUGUUUUGAAAGACUCUACAGUAUGACUUUUGGUUUGGAAGCCUUGCGUAGUUUAAACCCUGAAUAUCUCAUUUAACAUUUGGGAUGUCACAAUUGCAGUUUUUAAGAUACUACCAUACAACAACGUCUGCUAAUUGCACGAGAUAUGAAAAAAAAAUUAGAUAAAUCAAAACAGUGUCAAUCUUUUUCUAAAAACAAAACAAAAAUCAAUCUACAGUGUUUGUUUUUAGUCAUUAAUCUCCUUUUAGUUAAAUAUGUUGGAAAAUCCUUACAGGCUGUUCAAUGUUGAAAAAUUUCUUAAUCUACUUUGUAAUCUUUUGGAGAGGUUAAUCAUUUGAUAAUUGUUGUAUUAUCUCAGGUAAUGAUCUGUUCUUUAUAGAUAUGUGUGUAUGUAUAUAUAAUGUACAUAUAUACCUAUGUAUAUAUAGAUGUGUACACACAUAUAUAAAUAUUACAUGUAAACAUACAUACAUAUACAUACAUAUAUAUAUAUACGUGUAUAUAUAUAUAUAUAUAUAUAUAUAUAUAUAUAUAUACAUAUGUAUGCAUGUAUACACACAUAUAUGUAUAUAAGUAUACACAUAAAUACAUAAUGCAUAGCUCAUUUUACCCAACAGAUACAUGUUGGAGACUUGAACCUGAUGUUGUUUCAUUUCUCAUUAAGGUAACUUGAAUUUAGUGGUAUGUUAUACACCUAUACUGAUGAUUGACCGUUAAAGGACUUAAGUAUCCUCUCAAAGUUUCCAAAAAGAUCAGAUAUAGUUUUUCGUUUGAUACAACUAUCAUCAACGUCAUGAACAUUAAAUUGAAUUUACUAUUUAAUAUGUCGCGGAGUUUCCCUUUCUGAUCUACCUUCCCUAAAUCAUAAGUUUCUUAGACACCAUGGAGCGACCGAAAUGCAAAACACCAAGGAAGUAGUACUACAUUUUGGUCGCUUUAUAUAUACGUGAGUGUGUGUGUGUGUGUGUGUUUGUGUGUGUGUGUGUGUGUUUGUGUGUGUGAGUGUGUGUAUAUUAUCUCCAACUAUUAUAUAAGCAGUUUUAUGAUAUGGUGAGAACAUUUUACAUACCUAUGAAUUAAAAAUAAUGUUCGAUUAUUCGAUUUCACUUUUGAAAUACCUUUCCCUUGAAACAUAUAUCGAUACCACUUGUAAUAAAUAAAUAUAAGUUAUACAAUUAACACUAUAAUUAAAUAUUAUUUUCACAUUACAGUUACACAAACGUCUUAGAUGUAAUACAUUUUAUAUAUAUUUUUUAAUGUAGAUCUCUGAAACCUAUUCUCGAUGUCCUGCACAUAUUUAAACUGGACGGUGAUUUGAAACAGUUUCAAAAUCAACAUUUCAAACAUUAAUUAUUCAACUUUCGAACUUUAUUUGAUGUAGUUUGACCAUUAUGCUUCAUCAACUCAAUUUACUAUUUAACUUCACGAGCAAAAGUAUACAUAUUUACAACAUAUAUACAUAUAUAUGUGUGU
rnacentral:lncRNA from 1 species